rnacentral:rRNA from 1 species
AGAGUUUGAUCAUGGCUCAGAACGAACGCUGGCGGCGUGCUUAACACAUGCAAGUCGAACGCGAAAGGGACUUCGGUCCCGAGUAGAGUGGCGCACGGGUGAGUAACGCGUAAGUAAUCUACCCCUGUAUCUGGAAUAACCCACCGAAAGGUGAGCUAAUACCGGAUACGUUUAUCUUGAUGCGAAUGAUGAUAAAGAAAGGUGGCCUCUUCAUGAAAGCUACCGUACAGGGACGAGCUUGCGUACCAUUAGCUGGUUGGUAGGGUAAUGGCCUACCAAGGCGACGAUGGUUAGCGGGUCUGAGAGGAUGAUCCGCCACACUGGAACUGAAACACGGACCAGACUCCUACGGGAGGCAGCAGUGAGGAAUAUUGCGCAAUGGGGGCAACCCUGACGCAGCGACGCCGCGUGGACGAUGAAGGCCCUUGGGUCGUAAAAUCCUGUCAGAUGGAAAGAAAUGUACAGGUGUUAAUAUCGCCUGUAUUUGACGGUACCAUCAAAGGAAGCACCGGCUAACUCCGUGCCAGCAGCCGCGGUAAUACGGAGG